AACGAACGCUGGCGGCAUGCCUAACACAUGCAAGUCGAACGAAGUGGCGCACGGGUGCGUAACGCGUGGGAAUCUGCCCUUGGUUCGGAAUAACAGUUGGAAACGACUGCUAAUACCGGAUGCCCAGGGAUGAGCCCGCGUCGGAUUAGGUAGUUGGUGGGGUAAAGGCCUACCAAGCCGACGAUCCGUAGCUGGUCUGAGAGGAUGAUCAGCCACACUGGGACUGAGACACGGCCCAGACUCCUACGGGAGGCAGCAGUGGGGAAUAUUGGACAAUGGGCGAAAGCCUGAUCCAGCAAUGCCGCGUGAGUGAUGAAGGCCUUAGGGUUGUAAAGCUCUUUUACCCGGGAUGCAGUACCGGGAGAAUAAGCUCCGGCUAACUCCGUGCCAGCAGCCGCGGUAAUUC
rnacentral:rRNA from 1 species